AGAGAGAGACAUGCGCGCAUAUCAAUAAGCGGAGGAAAAGAAACUAACAAGGAUUCCCUUAGUAACGGCGAGUGAAGCGGGAAGAGCUCAAAUUUGAAAUCUUCAAGGUUCUACCUUGACGAAUUGUAGUUUAUAGAAGUGUUUUCUGUUAGUGGAGUGGCAAAAGUUCUUUGGAAUAGGACAUCAUAGAGGGUGAGAAUCCCGUAUUUGGUCAUUCCUCCUAGCGUUGUGAUACACUUUCAACGAGUCGGAUUGUUUGGGAAUGCAGUCCAAAAUGGGUGAUAAAUUUCAUCUAAAGCUAAAUAUUGGCGAGAGACCGAUAGCGAACAAGUACCGUGAGGGAAAGAUGAAAAGAACUUUGAAAAGAGAGUUAAACAGUACGUGAAAUUGUCAAAAGGGAAGCGUUUGACACCAGUGUUGUUUUUCCGAAAAUCAAUUACGAAUGUUUUAUUUUUGAGGAGUUAUGACUUCAUCGGCUUGCUCCUUUCUUUAUGAAACUUUCUUAAUGCACUUUUCGGUUAACAAGUCAACAUCAAUUUCUUUUGUUGUAAAAGGGUAUGAGGAAGGUGGCUUUCUUUUCGGAGAAAGUGUUUAUAGCCUCGUGCCUCUGCAAUCGGAGAGAUUGAGGUCUGCAGCGUAGAUCCUUCGGGGUUAGAUACAGUUUGUGCUAAGUUAUAGCUUUUCAUAGACAACUUGUUGACUAUGUUUAGUCUUGUAGCUUACUCGCUGAUGCUAUUUUACCUACGCUUAGGAUGUUGAUAGUCACAGCGUGUAC
rnacentral:rRNA from 1 species